rnacentral:rRNA from 1 species
UACAGAGGUCCCAAGCGUUGUUCGGAUUCACUGGGCGUAAAGGGUGCGUAGGCGGUCGGGUAAGUCUGAUGUGAAAGCUCGAAGCUUAACUUCGAAAUGGCAUUGGAUACUAUUCGGCUUGAGGAAUGGAGGGGAGACUGGAAUGCUCGGUGUAGCAAUGAAAUGCGUAGAUAUCGAGCGGAACACCAGUGGCGAAGGCGAGUCUCUGGACAUUUCCUGACGCUGAGGCACGAAAGCCAGGGGAGCAAACGGG